AACGAACGCUGGCGGUACGCCUAACACAUGCAAGUCGAACGGUAACAGGUCCUUCGGGAUGCUGACGAGUGGCGGACGGGUGAGUAACACGUGGAUAUCUGCCUUGGGGUAGGGGACAACAGCUGGAAACGGCUGCUAAUACCGUAUAGUCCUUAAGAGGUAAAGGCCUUCGGGUCGCCCUAAGAGGAGUCCGCGCUGGAUUAGCUUGUUGGUGAGGUAAUGGCUCACCAAGGCUGCGAUCCAUAGCUGGUCUGAGAGGAUGAUCAGCCACACUGGGACUGAGACACGGCCCAG
rnacentral:rRNA from 1 species